UACGUAGGGCGCAACGUUAUCCGGAAUUAUUGGGCGUAAAGAGCUCGUAGGCGGUUGUCGCGUCUGCCGUGAAAGUCCGGGCUCAACUCCGGAUCUGCGGUGGUACGGCAGACUAGAGUGAUGUAGGGAGACUGGAAUUCCUGGUGUAGCGGUGAAUGCGCAGAUAUCAGGAGGAACACCGAUGGCGAAGGCAGGUCUCUGGCAUAACUGACGCUGAGAGCGAAGCAUGGGAGCGAACAGG
rnacentral:rRNA from 1 species